rnacentral:rRNA from 1 species
UACGUAGGGGGGCGAGCGUUGUCCGGAUUUAUUGGGCGUAAAGAGCUCGUAGGCGGUUUGGUAAGUCGGGUGUGAAAUCUCCACGCUCAACGUGGAGGGGCCACUCGAUACUGCCAUGACUCGAGUCCGGUAGAGGAGUGUGGAAUUCCCGGUGUAGCGGUGAAAUGCGCAGAUAUCGGGAGGAACACCCGUAGCGAAGGCGGCACUCUGGGCCGGAACUGACGCUGAGGAGCGAAAAGCGUGGGGGAGCAAACAGG